ensembl:miRNA microRNA 33a
GCAACUGUAGUGCAUUGUAGUUGCAUUGCAUGUUCUGGAAAUACUCAUGCAAUGUUUCUGCAGUGCAGUUCA